rnacentral:rRNA from 1 species
ACGCUAGCUACAGGCUUAACACAUGCAAGUCGAGGGGAAACGGCAUUUAGUGCUUACACCGAAUGGACGUCGACCGGCGCACGGGUGAGUAACGCGUAUCCAACCUUCCCAUAACUAAGGGAUAACCUGCCGAAAGGCAGACUAAUACCUUAUGUAAUCCUUUGAUGGCAUCAGAUAAGGAUAAAAGAUUUAUCGGUUAUGGAUGGGGAUGCGUCUGAUUAGCUUGUUGGCGGGGUAACGGCCCACCAAGGCAACGAUCAGUAGGGGUUCUGAGAGGAAGGUCCCCCACAUUGGAACUGAGACACGGUCCAAACUCCUACGGGAGGCAGCAGUGAGGAAUAUUGGUCAAUGGACGGAAGUCUGAACCAGCCAAGUAGCGUGCAGGAUGACGGCCCUAUGGGUUGUAAACUGCUUUUGUAUGGGGAUAAAGUCAAUCACGUGUGAUUGUUUGCAGGUACCAUACGAAUAAGGACCGGCUAAUUCCGUGCCAGCAGCCGCGGUAAUACGGAAGGUUCGGGCGUUAUCCGGAUUUAUUGGGUUUAAAGGGAGCGUAGGCCGGAGAUUAAGUGUGUUGUGAAAUGUAGACGCUCAACGUCUGACUUGCAGCGCAUACUGGUUUCCUUGAGUACGCACAACGUUGGCGGAAUUCGUCGUGUAGCGGUGAAAUGCUUAGAUAUGACGAAGAACUCCGAUUGCGAAGGCAGCUGACGGGAGCGCAACUGACGCUGAAGCUCGAAGGUGCGGGUAUCGAACAGGAUUAGAUACCCUGGUAGUCCGCACAGUAAACGAUGGAUGCCCGCUGUUGGUACCUGGUAUCAGCGGCUAAGCGAAAGCAUUAAGCAUCCCACCUGGGGAGUACGCCGGCAACGGUGAAACUCAAAGGAAUUGACGGGGGCCCGCACAAGCGGAGGAACAUGUG